rnacentral:lncRNA from 1 species
UCACCCAAAACAAAGGCAAACAACUCGUCUUUUAACAUCAAAGAGACUUGAAGGAGUUCCCAAGUGUGUCUCAUGUGACACAUAAAGAGAAAGAGAGAUGUAAUGCAACACCUUUUGGGGCUGUUUGGUAUAUAAGUUUGGCUUAGAUUGUUAAUAUCGGGCUCACCAAAAAUACCUUUUUAGAAGAAGAAAUUAUAAAAUAAUAUUGUACCAUGACGUCAGCUAGUAAUACUCUCAUUCAAAAUUUGCCACAUGUCCAUCUCUUUUACAGUCGAAUUGAAAUUAUAAUGUUACCCAUUUAAAGCAUAAAAAAAUUAUAAAAAAAAAGGUCAACCACCGCCCACCCGAAACCAGCAUUGCCUCCCCUCCCACCACCCAGUGGCAGACCUACAAAGAUGCAAGGAGGUGCAAUUGCACCUCCGGUCGCCGGAAAAAACCAUGGAGGUGCUGGAUUUGGCCCUUUGCUCUCUAGCGUUUUAAAAGGUGUAUCAAGGCGCACCUCAUGGAGUCCGUCGAUCUGAGGCCGCCUGAAAUCGCAUCAAGGCACCAUUCUUUUAGCAAGUUACAUGAUUGAGGCAUGGUCUGUGUUGUAGAAGGAGUUGCAGAGGCGUGUCGCUUCUGGAGGCUCUGGUUCACGAAUGAAGAAGACAACCCUUUUUUUAAUUUUCACAAACGAC